UGGGAUUAGUGCCCCUGUAAAGGGACCCCAGCAACAUCCCUCGCCCCUUCCACCACGUGAGGACACAGAGAAGUCAGACCCGAAUCUGGUGGUGCCUCGGUCUCAGGCCUCCAGAACUGAGAAGUAAAUGUCUGCGACAGGAGCACACGUGGAUGGAGACACCCUCUGACCUGGCAACCUCACUGGCGAGUUCCACCUGACAGAAAUAAGAACACCAGUCCAUAAAGACGCAUGUCCGGUGAUGCCUGCAGCGGCAAAAGAGAAAAAUAAAGUGCAGAGCAGGCCCCAUACCAGAGGAUGGGCUACGCGGAGAACACCAUGCCACAUGAGGGACCGUGUGCCGCCUGAAAGCAGGCGCCGACCUGGUGGGGCCCUGGCACAUUCUGCUGAAGGAGCAAAGAGGACGCAGGAAGAGUGUGCUGAAGACGAUUCCAUUUUCUUCUUAAAUGGGAACAAAAACAUCUCUGCAUUUUUUCCCAUGUGCCCAUUCACCAAACAAGCACACUGAGGAAGGGAGGUCUGGGGAAUGACAAGGCCUCUACUGACUUCAUUUUCUACAGUGUGACCUUCAAACCUCAUUACACAGGCUCCAGAGCACCACAGGAGGGGCCCAACUCCAGGGCCAGUUGCCACCCACAGGGUUGAUGUGAGGAACCCCGGCCAGGAGACCCACCAAGGCCCGGUGCCCAGUCAACAGCUGGUCCCUCCUCAGCCCCGUGGCCUUGUCGGGGAGCCUCUGUGUGAGCACGAAUCUCUUCUUGGGAACCUCGGCCCUGCUUACUUAGGACAGCUCAGAGAAGAGCACAGAGUAGUCCUGGCCAGAUCCCUUCUCCUUGCUAUUCCUCAUCCUUCCCGACUCCACUCACGAGAAUAUGUCAUUAACCACCACCCUCACCUCACCUAACCACCACUCUCAACUUAUCUAACCCGUACUCACUUCAACUACCACCCUCACCUCACCUAACCAUCACAUCACUUCACCCAACUACCACCCUCACCUCACCUAACCACAAGUCUCAUCUAACCCAUACUCCACCUAACCAUGACCCUCACCUCAUCUAACCUCCAUUCUCAACUCAUCUAACCAUCCCCUUCACCUAACCACCAUCUCACUUCACCUAACAGUCACCUUCACUUCACCUAACCACUCUCCUCACCUUAUCUAACCACCACUAUCAACUCAUCCAACCCAUCCUCACUUCACUUACCCACCACCCUCACCUCACGGAACCCAUCUUCACCUCACCUAACCACUAACCUCACCUCACCUAAUCACCACCUUCACCUCACCUAACCAUCACCCUCACCUCACCUAAUCACCACCUUCACUCACCUAACCACUAACUUCACCUCACCUAAUCACCACUCUCAACUUACCUAAUCUGUACUCACUUCACCUAACCACCCCCACUCACCUCGCCUAACCAUCACUUCACCCAACCACCACCCUCACCUCAAGCCUCAUCUAACCCAUACUUCACCUAACCAUGACCCUCACCUCAUCCAACCACCAUUCUCAAUUCAUCUAACCAUCUCCUUCACCUAACCACCAUCUCACUUCACCUAUCAACUUCACUUCACCUAACCACUCUUCUCACCUAACCACCACUCUCAAUUCAUCUAACCCAUACUCACUUCGCUUACCCACCAUAUUCACCUCACUUAUCCAUAACUCUUACCUCACCUAACUGCCACCCUCACAUCAUCUAACAACCACCUUCAUCUCCACCUAACCACUUUACUCACUUUAUCUAGCCACCACCCUCACCUCAUCCAACACAUACUCCCUUCACUUACCCACCACCUGACUCACCUCAUGGAACCCAUCUUCACCUCACCUAACCACUAACCUCACUUCACCUAACCACCACUCUGAACUCAUCUAACCUAUAUUCACUUCAACUAACCACAGCCUGCACCUUACCUAACCCACCCUCACCUCACCUAACAGCCACCCUCACAUCACGUAACCACCACCUUCACUUUGUGGUGGAAAGCAGUUUGCUGAUUUCUCAAAGAACUUAGAACUACCAUUCAACCUGGCAAUACCAUUACUGGCUAUAAACCCAAAGGCACAGAAAUCAUUCUAGCAAAAAGACAUGCCCAUCAACAGCCCUAUUCACAAAGCAAAGACAUGGAAUCAAUACGUCUCCAUCAAAGGUGGACUAGAUGAAGAACAUGUGGUACAUACAGAGCAUGGAAUAUUACGCAGCCACAAAGACUGAAAUCACGUCCUUUGAAGCACCAUGGAGGCAGCUGGAGGCCAUCAUCCUAAGCCAAUUAGCACAGCAACAGAAAACCAAAUACCACGUGUUCUCGUAAGUGGGAGCAAAACACGGUACUCAGGGAGGAGAAAU
rnacentral:lncRNA from 1 species